rnacentral:tmRNA from 1 species
GACCUUUUAAUCCGGUCCGCAACCCCUUAUAUAGAAGAGGUCGGGCGACCGACUAUGGCGAUAAACUGAUUUCGUAAUAAACCUUUCGGACCCGGGGGCGGUACCCGGCGCCUCCACCAAAAGCACAUGCAAACCGGAUAGCCGGGCCUGUGUUUUCCAUGGGGGCGAAAUAGGAUCGACGAGGGUGUAAAGGAUCUACUUUCGCUCGGAAUGGUACCGCCGUUAUCGGGCCGUUAUGAUAGUUGCAAACGACAACUACGCUGAAGCUCGUCUCGCUGCUUAACGCAGUGCGACUGUUUCAAAUUAAGCCCUGAAGGUUAGCACUUUCAGGCGGGGUUCGGAGGCACCUGGCAACAGAAGCCUCCACU